rnacentral:lncRNA from 1 species
GCGAAGCCCAGCCAAUCAAAAGCAAAUCUCAGAUUUGGGUUGAGAUUUGUUGGGCCCGUUCUAGGCUCGGUCUGAGUGUUCGUCGACGUCGCCGAAAACCCGAUUUUCGGCCACCUUUGCGCAGUCGUCGCGGUGAUCCAGUCUUCGCAAAUCAAGUGAGUUUUACUCACUAAUGCUUUCUUAGUUUGCUAAUUAUUCUUAAGGGUUGAUUAGAUUUAAUUAAGUGCAAUUAUGUGGUUAUAUUAGAGUAGAUUAGUGAUUAUUAGAUCAUUGUGAUGC